rnacentral:rRNA from 1 species
CCUACGGGAGGCAGCAGUGGGGAAUAUUGCACAAUGGGGGGAACCCUGAUGCAGCGACGCCGCGUGAGUGAAGAAGUCUUUCGGUAUGUAAAGCUCUAUCAGCAGGGAAGAAAAUCACGGUACCUGACUAAGUCUCCCCGGCCAAAUCCGUGCCAGCCGCCGCGGUUAAACGCGGGGGGCAAGCGUUAUCCGGAUUUACCGGGUGUAAAGGGAGCGUAGACGGCAGAGCAAGUCUGGAGUGAAAGCCCGCGGCCCAACUGCGGGACUGCUUUGGAAACUGCCCGGCUAGAGUGCUGAAGAGGUAAGCGGAAUUCCUAGUGUAGCGGUGAAAUGCGUAGAUAUUAGGAGGAACACCAGUGGCGAAGGCGGCUUACUGGACAGUAACUGAUGUUGAGGCUCGAAGGCGUGGGGAGCAAACAGGAUUAGAUACCCUUGUAGUC